GGGGGUCCAAAAAUGGAGGGGGGGGCUCAAAAUGGGAGUUGGGGGAACCUCGGUCCCAUUGGAGAGCCCGAACCCAUUGGAGAACCCAAAAUCCUAUGGGUCAUGGGGGACCCCGACCCCACUGGAGACCCCAAUUCCUAUAGGAGGACCCCAAAAAUGGGGAGGGGGUUCCCAAAAUGGAAAUGGGGGGGGGGCCCAAAACUGGGAUGGGAGGAGGGGGGGUCAUCCUGACCCCAUUGGAGACCCCAAACCCAAUGGAGACCCCAAAGCCCAUGGAGACCCCAUAGAUCCACUGGAGACCCCAAAUCCAAAGGAGACCCCAAACCCUAUAGGUGCAGGGGGACCCCAAAAUGGGGAGGGGUCCCAAAAUUGGAGGAAGGGUCCCAAAAUUGGGAUGGGGAAGUGGUCCCAAAACUGGGGGGGGGGUCAUCCUGACCCCAUUGGAGACCCCAAACCCCAUCGAUCCACUGGAGACCCCGAAGCCAAUGGGGACAAUCCCAAAAAGAUUUUUGGGGUGAAAAAAAGAGGGGAAAAAAAAAACCCCAAAACCAGUGGGGGAGGAACUCACCCCAUAUCCUGUCCAGAGCAGCAGUGGGAAAGAAAUCCAGAAUGGGAUAUUGGCCCCAAAAAUGCCCUUUUUACCCCCAAAAAACCACUUUUUUUUUUUACCCUAAAAGUGACCCCAUAGGCAAUAGAGGGAAGCAGCGGACUACAGCUCCCAUGAUGCACCACGGCCACGUGGGACAGGAAAGGUGGCCAUGUUGGCAGGGGGCAGCCAAUCAGCAUCGAGAUCGGGGCGCAAGGCAUUGUGGGAAAUGCAGUGCAGACCCAUAGAGGUGCAACACUGCCCUAUAGAAACCCCAUAGAGGUGCCAUCGUGGGACCCACAGCUCGGCCCUAUAGAAACCCCAUAGAGGUGCCAUACCCCAGCCCUAUAGAUACCCCACAUCAGCCCCAUACCCAGCCCUAUAUGCACCCCAUAAAGACCCCGUACCACAGCCCUAUAAAGACCCCAUAUCACCCCAUCCACAUCCCAUAAAGGCCCCGUAUAACCCCAUCCCCACCUCAAUACCCAAACCCUAUAAAGACCCCAUAUCACCCGAUACCCCAGCCCUAUAAACACCCCAUAUCAUCCCCAUACCCAGCCCUAUAAACACCCCAUAUCACCCACCCCCACCCCAAUACCCAACCCAUAUAGAGACCCCAUAUCACCCCACCCCCACCCCAAUACCCAAACCCUAUAAACACCCCAUAUCAUCCCCAUACCCAGCCCUAUAAACA
rnacentral:lncRNA from 1 species